rnacentral:rRNA from 1 species
GAUGAACGCUGGCGGCGUGCCUAAUACAUGCAAGUCGAGCGAACAGACGAGGAGCUUGCUCCUCUGACGUUAGCGGCGGACGGGUGAGUAACACGUGGAUAACCUACUUAUAAGACUGGGAUAACUACGGGAAACCGGAGCUAAUACCGGAUAAUAUAUUGAACCGCAUGGUUCAAUAGUGAAAGACGGUUUUGCUGUCACUUAUAGCUGGAUCCGCGCUGCAUUAGCUAGUUGGUAAGGUAACGGCUUACCAAGGCGACGAUGCGUAGCCGACCUGAGAGGGUGAUCAGCCACACUGGAACUGAGACACGGUCCAGACUCCUACGGAAGGCGGCAGUAGGGAAUCUUCCGCAAGGGGCGAAAGCCUGACGGAGCAACGCCGCGUGAGUGAUGAGGGUCUUCGGAUCGUAAAACUCUGUUAUUAGGGAAGAACAAGUGUGUAAGUAACUAUGCACGUCUUGACGGUACCUGAUCAGAAAGCCACGGCUAACUACGUG